ensembl:lncRNA
CCCUCCUCCACAAGCCUUUAUGCUUCCCUGUAGUUAUAUCAGUACACUGUCAUGGAAAAAAAAGUGUGUAUCAGUAAGAUGAACUACCUACAUCUUGUAUUAAUGAUCCAGAAGUGACAGCAUGGUAUCCAGCUCAAAGUAAUUAAUCUCCUUUUGGUAGCUUUCACACAUUCCAGCUGUCUUUGACCUUCACAGGAACACCUCUGUAACUCUCAGUGUAGAAAUACCCUUUGCAAAGCUCUUUUCUAGACUUUUUCCUUUCUUCCACUGAACUUUCAUCCUUUAUCCAAAUCCACUUACCACAUGUUUUUCAGUCUCCAUCCUGUAUGUGGUUAUCCCUUUAGACUAACUUGCAUAUUUCUCUGUUUACAUCCUCCUGACUCUCCUAACUGUAUCUGAAAUAUGGUGCUGUGAAAACCAAACUCUCUCCCAAGUGGCCUCCUGCCAUUUCCUGGCAAUGAAUGCCAACAUCCUCUCCUAGUCCUGUUCAGCUUACACUUUCAAUGGCAUUUUUAUGUCCUCUCUCUCUUUUUUCUCCCCAGUGUCCCUUCCUCUUUUGUACACAUCCAUGCCCAUGUAUUCCUCAUUUCUGUUCGAGUUCAGUCUGUCUUUUAUUUUCUCUUCUUUUUUUUUUGCUGCAGCAACAUCUUCUCCAGCACUUUCCCAUUGCUUUUGUUUCAUUGCUUCUACGACCUCCCUACUGCCUGAAAACCAUUCAUGUUUUCUAAAAUCACUCCACAUUUCUGGCUUUCUUUGUUUUAUGCACAAAGCAGCAUUUCUUUUAGCAGCUCCAUAAGAAGUUGGUCACUGUCAACAAGUCUAAUGUGAUUCAUAGGCCACUUACUAAGCCUCACCCCUUUGUAUUCUGAUCCAGUAUUCACCAACUCCUUUUUAAAUCUUAUCAUUGUUUCUUCUCAGGACAAAGCUGAGAUCUUCCUCAACUCUGACAUGAAAGGAGAGGUGCUCCAACCCUCUGAUCAUCAUGGCCCUCCUCUGGACCUGCUUCAAGAGCUCCACGCUCUUCUGGUACUUGGGGUCCUAGGCCUGGCUGCAGUACUCCAGAUGGAGCCUUACAAGAGCUGAGCAGAAGGGGACAACCACCUCCUUCUCCCUGCUGGCCUCUCCUCUUCUAAUGCAACACAGAGCACAGUUGGCCUUUUGGGCUGCGAAUGCACAUUUCUGGCUUGUGUCCAACUUCUCAUCCACCAGGACUCCCAAGUCCUUCUCCACAGGGCUGUUCUCAAGGAGAUCAUCCCUCAGUUUGUAUAAAUACCUGGUAUUGCCCCAACCCAAGUGCACUUGGCCUUAUUGAACCUCAUUAGAUUUUCAUUGGCCCACUUCU